AAAGCGUGCGCAGGCGGUUUUGUAAGACUGUCGUGAAAUCCCCGGGCUCAACCUGGGAAUGGCGAUGGUGACUGCAAGGCUAGAGUUUGGCAGAGGGGGGUAGAAUUCCACGUGUAGCAGUGAAAUGCGUAGAUAUGCGGAGGAACACCGAUGGCGAAGGCAAUCCCCUGGACCUGUACUGACGCUCAUGCACGAAAGCGUGGGGAGCAAACAGGAUUAGAUACCCGUGU
rnacentral:rRNA from 1 species